AUUGAACGCUGGCGGCAUGCCUUACACAUGCAAGUCGAACGGCAGCGCGGGAGCAAUCCUGGCGGCGAGUGGCGAACGGGUGAGUAAUACAUCGGAACGUGCCCAAUCGUGGGGGAUAACGCAGCGAAAGCUGUGCUAAUACCGCAUACGAUCUACUGAUGAAAGCAGGGGAUCGCAAGACCUUGCGCGAAUGGAGCGGCCGAUGGCAGAUUAGGUAGUUGGUGAGGUAAAGGCUCACCAAGCCUUCGAUCUGUAGCUGGUCUGAGAGGACGACCAGCCACACUGGGACUGAGACACGGCCCAGACUCCUACGGGAGGCAGCAGUGGGGAAUUUUGGACAAUGGGCGAAAGCCUGAUCCAGCCAUGCCGCGUGCAGGAUGAAGGCCUUCGGGUUGUAAACUGCUUUUGUACGGAACGAAACGGUCUUUUCUAAUAAAGAAGGCUAAUGACGGUACCGUAAGAAUAAGCACCGGCUAACUACGUG
rnacentral:rRNA from 1 species